AAGUGUUAGAGAACUUUGACUCUUUGAAAAAAAACUCUCUCUCCAUCAAAUUCUCACUUUCUCUCUCCAUCUUCCCCCAAAUUUUUUGAUUUCCAAUUUUUUUAUUUUCUAAAAAAAUUAGGGUUUCGAAUUUGAUAGUCAGGGUUUGAAUUAGAGAAAAGUGAUGGGAAUUAGAGGUAAUGAUGAAGGAGAAAUAGAUAAAGAGAAAGAAGAUAUUGGUAGGGUUAUGAAUGGUAAAGCUGAAAUUAGGUUUAGGAAUGGUUAUGAUGAGAUCAAUCAUCAUCAUCAAAAUAUUGAUACUAAGAUAGAUUCUGGUGGCGGUUGUGGUGUAGAAGGUGGAGAUAAUAAUAAUCAUCAUCAAAAUAAUCAUCAUCAUAAUAAUAAUAAUACUGAAGAGGAGGAUGAUGUGGUUUCUGUGAGUGAUGGUGGAGAUAAUAAUAGUGAAGAAGAGGAUGUGGUUUCUGUUAGUGGUGGAGAUGAGGAGGAGGAUGAAGAGGAAGAUGAUGAAGUAGAUGAAGGAGAAGAGGUUUUGACUGGUGCUGGUGCUGCUCCUGUUGUUAUUCCUGCUCCUCAAGUUAUUUCUGUUAUUGAUGUGGAUGCUGAUGACGAGGAAGAUGAGGAUGAAGAAGGUGGUGUUGAUGAUGAAGAAGAGCAGGACGACGAGGAUGAUGAAGAUGAUGAUGAGGAGGAUUUGGGAACAGAAUACCUUGUUCGUCCAGUAGCUCGCGCAGAAGAAGAAGAUGAUGACGACGAUGAUGAUGUGUACGAGGAGGAUGAUGAUGAGAACCAGGAGGAAGUCGAAGAUGAUGAGGAGGAUUUGGGUAAAGAAAGUCCUGUAGGUCGUGCAGAGGCAGAAGAUGAUGACGAUGUUUAUGAGGAGGAGGAUAUCGAGAAUGAGGAGGAAGUGGAAGAUGAUGAGGUGGAUUUGGGAACAGAGAGUCCAGUAGGUCGUGCAGAAGAUGAUGAUGAUGUUUAUGAGGAGGAGGAUCUUGAGAACGAGGAGGAAGUCGAAGAUGAUGAGGAGGAAAUGGGGACCGAAAGUCCAGUUGCUCACGCAGAAGAUGAUGAUAAUGUUUAUGAGGAGGAAGAUCUUGAGAACGAAGAGGAAGUCGAGGAUGAUGAGGAGGAUAUAGCAGCAGAGUACCUUGUCCGUCCAAUAGGUCGCAAUGAAGAUGCGCAAGAUGCUAGUGAUUUUGAAUUAGUUGAGGAGAUUGGUGAAGAAGAGGAUGAGAUUCCAGAAGAGGAUGAUGAUGAAGGUGUGGUAAGUGCUGGAAAUGGAGAGGUUUCAACAAAGAGAAAAAGGUCAAGUGACGACGACUCUGAUGAGAAUGACGAUGAUGACUCUGAUGACGAUGGUGGUGAAAACUAUGAGAGAGCGCCCAAGCGGUAGGAUUUGGCCCUCGAGGUUUGUUGAGAGACAAUACACAGUCAGCUGAAUGUCUCUCCUCCGACCUCGAGCACACCUCUUGUAGAAAGUACAGGUGCAAGAAGAAACAUCAAAGCAGGCUCAGAAUGGGGUCAUGGUCCCUAAAUGCGGAAAGCCGUGCUUUGUUAGCUGUCAUCUAAAGGAUGAAAAUGGAAUCAAUCACCUUUUUCCUGUAUCUAUUGUGAUUGCAAAAUGUUAGUGGCAGCUAUCUCAAGUUAUUCGUUUGACCUUCUUGCAGUGUCCGUAGUGAUUAAAACUCUUUUAGCUCUUUCUCCUGCUACUAUCUGUAAAUUUAUCCCUUGAAAUUAGAAUUUCCAAUACUCUCUGUAUGAUCUGUUGGCUAGAGAAGCCCGUAUAGUCGAAAGUUAAAAAAAUCUUGAUCUGAUCUGCUGGAUCUUUCUGUAGAAACAUUCUGUUCUUGCUCAAAUGGAUACGGUGAUGUUCCCA